rnacentral:rRNA from 1 species
AGUGAACGCUGGCGGUAGGCCUAACACAUGCAAGUCGAACGGCAGCACAGUAAGAGCUUGCUCUUACGGGUGGCGAGUGGCGGACGGGUGAGGAAUACAUCGGAAUCUACUUUUUCGUGGGGGAUAACGUAGGGAAACUUACGCUAAUACCGCAUACGACCUACGGGUGAAAUCAGGGGAUCUUCGGACCUUUCGCGAUUGAAUGAGCCGAUGUCGGAUUAGCUAGUUGGCGGGGUAAAGGCCCACCAAGGCGACGAUCCGUAGCUGGUCUGAGAGGAUGAUCAGCCACACUGGAACUGAGACACGGUCCAGACUCCUACGGGAGGCAGCAGUGGGGAAUAUUGGACAAUGGGCGCAAGCCUGAUCCAGCCAUACCGCGUGGGUGAAGAAGGCCUUCGGGUUGUAAAGCCCUUUUGUUGGGAAAGAAAAGCAGCAGGUUAAUCCCCCGCUGUUCUGACGGUACCCAAAGAAUAAGCACCGGCUAACUUCGUG